rfam:Physcomitrella patens subsp. patens PHYPAscaffold_303 genomic scaffold, whole genome shotgun sequence.
GUCUGGUUGGUGUAGUUGGUUAUCACGCCAGUCUCACACACUGGAGGUCCGCGGUUCGAACCCGCGAUCAGACA